rnacentral:rRNA from 1 species
CGAAGACGUGAUGCGGACCGAAUUAAGAGUAGGGAAGUGUGUGAGCCAUGCGUCAAGAAAAGCCGCUAUUGUUUUACUUAAGCCCGUACCGUAAACCGACACAGGUGGAUGAGGAGAGAAUCCUAAGGCCGACGGGAGAAGCAUUGUUAAGGAACUCGGCAAAAUGACUCCGUAACUUCGGGAGAAGGAGUGCCAGCGAGAGCUGGCCGCAGAGAAUUGGCCCAAGCAACUGUUUAGCAAAAACACAGGUCUAUGCAAAACCGUAAGGUGAAGUAUAUGGGCUGACGCCUGCCCGGUGCUGGAAGGUUAAGAGGAGAGGUUAGCGGCAACGCGAAGCUUUGAAUUUAAGCCCCAGUAAACGGCGGCCGUAACUAUAACGGUCCUAAGGUAGCGAAAUUCCUUGUCGGGUAAGUUCCGACCCGCACGAAAGGCGUAAUGAUUUGGGCACUGUCUCAACAAUGCACCCGGUGAAAUUGAAAUACCAGUGAAGAUGCUGGUUACCUGCGCCAGGACGGAAAGACCCCAUGGAGCUUUACUCCAGCUUGAUACUGGGAUUCGGUAUUGCAUGUACAGGAUAGGUGGGAGGCUAGGAAGUGAUAACGCCAGUUGUCACGGAGCCGCUGUUGGGAUACCACCCUUGCAGUAUUGGAUUUCUAACCAGCGACCAUGAACUGGUCGGGGGACAAUGUCAGGUGGGGAGUUUGACUGGGGCGGUCGCCUCCGAAAGGGUAUCGGAGGCGCUCAAAGGUUCCCUCAGAAUGGACGGAAACCAUUCGAAGAGUGCAAAGGCAGAAGGGAGCUUGACUGCGACACCGACGGGUGGAGCAGGUACGAAAGUAGGACUUAGUGAUCCGGUGGUAUAAAGUGGAUUGCCAUCGCUCAACGGAUAAAAGCUACCCUGGGAUAACAGGCUUAUCACUCCCAAGAGUUCACAUCGACGGAGUGGUUUGGCACCUCGAUGUCGGCUCAUCGCAUCCUGGGGCUGAAGUAGGUCCCAAGGGUUGGGCUGUUCGCCCAUUAAAGCGGUACGCGAGCUGGGUUCAGAACGUCGUGAGACAGUUCGGUCCCUAUCCGGCGUGGGCGCAGGAUAUUUGAGAGGAGCUGUCCUUAGUACGAGAGGACCGGGAUGGACUGGCCGCUGGUGUAUCUGUUGCAUACCAAAUGCAUGGCAGAGUAGCCAAGCCGGGACGGGAUAAACGCUGAAGGCAUCUAAGCGUGAAGCCCCCCUCAAGAUGAGAUAUCCCUACGUAAGUAGUAAGACCCCUUGAAGACGACGAGGUAGAUAGGUCAGAGGUGGAAGUACAGUAAUGUAUGGAGCUGACUGAUACUAAUCGGUCGAGGGCAUGACC